AAGGGCGUGGCCAAAAUGUUUACGGUUCCAUUAGGAAUUGACAAGAUAAAUAAUAAAACAUAAACGAAAUAAAAAUUAGAAAGAGAGUGAAAAAAUAACUUAUUUUGCAAUUGUUGCAUUAUGCAAAACUUAUGAAGGUCCUCAAGGUUAAGGAAUGCCGAGGACGCACAUGUUUCAAGUGUGACGAAAACAUCAAUUUACAAACGGGCAUUCUCUGGUAAUCGCUGCCACCCUUUUUUGAAUUUGUAUGAACUUUUCGAUUUGUAAGUCGGGCACAUUUGUCUGGUCGAAAUAAAAGAUAAAUGCCUUUUUUAUAUCAAAUCAGAAUCAGGAUAUUUAAAAGAAAAUGUAUUUGUGACCACAUUGACAAACUUUACUUUGCAAAUUUUACCGUCGGCAACAAAAAUUUUCGAUUUGGCAAGGUGUAACG
rnacentral:sRNA from 1 species